AGUGAACGCUGGCGGUAGGCCUAACACAUGCAAGUCGAACGGCAGCACAGGAGAGCUUGCUCUCUGGGUGGCGAGUGGCGGACGGGUGAGGAAUACAUCGGGAUCUACUUUUUCGUGGGGGAUAACGUAGGGAAACUUACGCUAAUACCGCAUACGACCUACGGGUGAAAGCAGGGGAUCUUCGGACCUUGCGCGAUCGAAUGAGCCGAUGUCGGAUUAGCUAGUUGGCGGGGUAAAGGCCCACCAAGGCGACGAUCCGUAGCUGCGCUGAGAGGAUGAGCAGCCACACUGGAUCUGAGACACGGUCCAGGCUCCUACGGGAGGCAGCAGUGGGAAAUAUUGGACAAUGGGCGCAAGCCUGAUCCAGCCAUACCGCGUGGGUGAAGAAGGCCUUCGGGUUGUAAAGCCCUUUUGUUGGGAAAGAAAUCCAGCUGGCUAAUACCCGGUUGGGAUGACGGUACCCAAAGAAUAAGCACCGGCUAACUUCGUGCCAGCCGCCGCGGUAA
rnacentral:rRNA from 1 species